UGAGCAAUCUGCCCUUCUCAUCGGAAUAAGCGUUGGAAACGACGUCUAAUGCCGAAUACGACCUCCUUUCGCAUGAUCGGAGGUGGAAAGCUCCGGCGGAGAAGGAUGAGCUCGCGGCCUAUUAGCUAGUUGGUGUGGGUAAUGGCCCACCAAGGCGACGACGGGUAGCCGGCCUGAGAGGGUGACCGGCCACACUGGGACUGAGACACGGCCCAGACUCCGUACGGGAGGNAGCG
rnacentral:rRNA from 1 species